rnacentral:rRNA from 1 species
GUGGGGAAUUUUGGACAAUGGGCGCAAGCCUGAUCCAGCAAUGCCGCGUGCAGGAAGAAGGCCUUCGGGUUGUAAACUGCUUUUGUACGGAACGAAACGGUCCGGGUUAAUACCCUGGGCUAAUGACGGUACCGUAAGAAUAAGCACCGGCUAACUACGUGCCAGCAGCCGCGGUAAUACGUAGGGUGCAAGCGUUAAUCGGAAUUACUGGGCGUAAAGCGUGCGCAGGCGGUUUUGUAAGACAGGCGUGAAAUCCCCGGGCUCAACCUGGGAAUUGCGCUUGUGACUGCAAGGCUGGAGUGCGGCAGAGGGGGAUGGAAUUCCGCGUGUAGCAGUGAAAUGCGUAGAUAUGCGCAGGAACACCGAUGGCGAAGGCAAUCCCCUGGGCCUGCACUGACGCUCAUGCACGAAAGCGUGGGGAGCAAACAGGAUUAGAAACCCCGGUAGUCC